rnacentral:lncRNA from 1 species
CGAUUCAGUAAAUUAGACAUAAAGUGUUGUGUUAAUGUAAUAAGGAACGCUCAUCACAUCUAAAAUGGAAAUAAAUCCAGCAAGUUUAUUCAACAACCGUAAUGGUAAGUUAUGCAUGACAAGAUAAGUCUUUUUUCUUGUUGGUAAUCAAUACCGAAAAAUACCAUUCUUAAGAAAAUAAGUAAAAUUUCAAAUUUAACUAUCAGUUCAGAGGAUGUACUAACAUUAUCUUUACAAUUUUUCUGCAAUAUUACCAGUGUCAAAGGAACACACGAACAACGACUCUGGGGUGUAACAAAAUAUAUAAGGAAUAGAGUCUACGUCAUAACUGAUUCAUAAUAUUGCACCAGACGUUAUUAACUUCGCACUAAGUUUCUCCAUAUAAUGUUCAGGAGCGUAGCUGCCGUUGGGCCCUUUGGGUACGUACCUACACAUACUUUUUUUCCAAAAAAAAUGACAACGUUAUCUGUAGAUGCACGUGAAGUCGUCAAUUAUUUAAUUAUCAAAUGUCAUUUUUACACUAGUCUAUAAUCCUAAGUGAAUGGAGUAUUCGAUUGUAUGUACAUUAUAUUCCACCUUAUAUAGAAACUUAAACUAGAACUUUGAUUCAGAUAAUUUCAUUUCUAUCAACAAAUACUCGAAAGAGCCUCAAACGUGGCCUCAACAAGCUCAAAUCCCUGAAUUUUUUUUAUUGGAUGUUGGCUUUCAACUAGCUUUUUCCCACUUGGUCUUCGUCUGAUCUACAACAAAACCCUUGCAAAAGUGGGGAGUCCGUUUGGCUGUGCAGGAUGUAUAAAUACGCAUUCACGUCUGGUCAGAAUUGGGACGUUAAAUUCGAUGCAUAGCAUAGAGAGAAUGCCACGCUCUCUGCACGUUAAGAACACUUACAAAAACUCUUUGAGGGGUCCGUAGGUGGUUCACUGAAAGGCAAAAUUUCUGACCCUAUCCAAUAAACCCUCAUUUUCCAAUGGCAUUUCCAAAUUUCUAAACCUUCAUCCUUGACGACCCCUAAUACAGGUCCUAGUGGCUACUUGUUGCAUUUAUUGUAAAUUGUUUUUGUCCUGAAAAUGCAUAACUAUUUGCCCCUGGAUGUUUAGCAAUCAAUCAAUCAACUACCUUUCAGUAACUUCGAGUACUAUCAGAUCUACAUGAAAUGACCAUACGUAUUCCAAAUUCCUAAGCAGAUAGGGAUUUACAGUAGAGGAUAUCAGAAAAUAUGAAUUUCUUGAAUUUUGUUACCAUAGUAUGAACAGAACCGAAUUUCUGCAUUAACCAUCGACUCUAUGUGUGUAUGUGUUUGUGCGGCCGGGUGAGGAUUAAAGGAAUCAAAAGAUUGAUGGUCUUUGUAUAGCUCAGAGGAUAGUAUUAUUAUUUAAAGUAGUUUCAGUGUUUACGUGCCUCUUGUUUAAUGAAUGAUCGUCAAUAUGUAUGAAUUAACGUAUAUAUCAACUAUUCUUAAUCAGAAAGGAAUAGAUAUGAAAAAACUAAACAGGAUGUACUGCUUAAUUAAGGGCUACGCUGAUCUACGCUAGGCAAUGCAUAUUGCAAAUAAAUUUUUUUAGAUUUCUGAUUGUACUGCGUUGAUUCACCAGUCAAAUGUUAUUGUAAAAUUAUCCAUAAUUAUUCGAACUUUUCUUUAUGUAUAUUAUCAUGAUAAAAUAACCAGUAAAUUUUAUAUUUUUUGUACACAAAAGUUUGCAACUAAAAUGCUGAAAACAAUUUCCCGUCGGAGGGCUUCGCCCCUCUGAACCCACCACCAGGGCUCUGCCCUAGACCUGCUGGAGCCAUUAAGCGCCCCCAGACCUUCUUUCCGCAAUUUGAGCCUAUAAUUGAUUUGAUACCUAUCUACGCCCCUGAUGUUUGUAUGAUACACACACCAACCCACAAUAGUAAGAUUUAAGCACAAUCAGUGUUAAAGUAAUUAAUCAGAAGAAAGAAGAUGGCGAAGGUCAUUUGUAUGACAAAAACACACACACACACCCUCAAUAGAAAGAUUUAAACAUAAUCAGUGUUACAGGCAUGAAUCAGAAGAAAGAAGCUGGUGAAGGUCAUUUGUAUGAUACAAACACACCCUCAAUAGAAAAAAUUAUGCAUAAUCAGUGUUACAGAAUGAAUCAUAAAAAGGAAGCUGGUAAAGAUCAUUUGUAUGACAAACACACACACACACCAACAUUCACACAAACACACACACUGCAUAGAAAGAUAUAAGAAUAGUCAACUGCUACAGGAAUGAAUCAAAAGAAAGAAGCUGGUUAAGAUCAUUCCGAACAAUCCUUCGACUUAGAACGUAGCGCUGAAAAAACUAGAGUCCGUUAUUUUUUUUUCCUUUUUACGUAUUUGAAUGAUUUAGUGGAUGUUUCGGCAUACUUCUUCAAUGAAAAGAUUUUAGUACGUCAUAAAGAUUAUGUUUUCCUUUUGUCAUUCAAUUUUUAUCGUCAAUGAAGAGAACGUUCGCGUCGUCAUAGAAUCAAUUACUCUCUUCAUAAAUAAUAAAUAUUAUUCAAGUUAUUGUCACGUCAUUCUCGUUGAACAUUCUUUCCUUGCUUGCAUUUAGUGAAAUGGAGUACCGUGGUAUAUUUCUACAUAGUGAUGCUUAGUUUAUCUGAAGCGUUUAUCCAAUCAUGUAUGUUUAUUCCAAACUACAUGUACUAUAGAAGCCAGAAUAUUGAAUGCUUAGAAUACUGGACAGCAAGAGACAUGACACAUGGCUGUAUUUUCAAACCUAAAAACCUAGAGUUCACUGGCAGGACCAAAAAUGUUCUAGAUGAAUAUUUAAUAACAGUUAACACCACUGAUCAUUUUACUAUGG